rnacentral:rRNA from 1 species
UACAGAGGUCUCAAGCGUUGUUCGGAUUCAUUGGGCGUAAAGGGUGCGUAGGUGGCGCCGUAAGUCGGGUGUGAAAUCCUGAGGCUUAACCUCAGAACUGCAUUCGAUACUGCGGUGCUUGAGGACUGGAGAGGAGACUGGAAUUCAUGGUGUAGCAGUGAAAUGCGUAGAGAUCAUGAGGAAGACCAGUGGCGAAGGCGGGUCUCUGGACAGUUCCUGACACUGAGACACGAAGGCCAGGGGAGCAAACGGG